rnacentral:rRNA from 1 species
UAGGGAAUCUUCCACAAUGGACGCAAGUCUGAUGGAGCAACGCCGCGUGAGUGAAGAAGGUUUUCGGACCGUAAAGCUCUGUUGUUGGUGAAGAAGGAUAGAGGUAGUAACUGGCCUUUAUUUGACGGUAAUCAACCAGAAAGUCACGGCUAACUACGUGCCAGCAGCCGCGGUAAUACGUAGGUGGCAAGCGUUGUCCGGAUUUAUUGGGCGUAAAGCGAGCGCAGGCGGAAGAAUAAGUCUGAUGUGAAAGCCCUCGGCUAACCGAGGAAUUGCAUCGGAAACU